rnacentral:rRNA from 1 species
UACGUAGGGUGCAAGCGUUGUCCGGAAUUAUUGGGCGUAAAGAGCUCGUAGGCGGUGUGUCGCGUCGGCCGUGAAAACCUGCAGCUUAACUGUGGGCGUGCGGGCGAUACGGGCAGACUGGAGUACUGCAGGGGAGACUGGAAUUCCUGGUGUAGCGGUGGAAUGCGCAGAUAUCAGGAGGAACACCGGUGGCGAAGGCGGGUCUCUGGGCAGUAACUGACGCUGAGGAGCGAAAGCGUGGGGAGCGAACAGG